GACGUCGAUAUUCGACGUCAUAAACACGAUCAAAUUUGGUGUUUAUGACGUCGAUAUACGACGUCAUAAACACGGUCAACUUUGGUGUUUAUGACGUCGAUAUACGACGUCAUAAACACGAUCAACUUUGGUGUUUAUGACGUCGAUAUACGACGUCAUAAACACGAUCAACUUUGGAUGUUUAUGACGUCGAUAUUCGACGUCAUAAACACGAUCAACUUUGGUGUUUAUGACGUCGAUAUUCGACGUC
rnacentral:miRNA from 1 species